ensembl:snoRNA
GGUGUGUGCUUGGAGUAGGGGCCUGAAGAACGGCUCCUCUGUUUACAACACUUGGAACAGGCAUCUGGGGUCACUGUGACAAUGGGUACAAAAUUUGUGGCUCCCUAAGAACAAAUGUCCCACAUGU